CAGUAGCCGCGGGAAUACAGAGGGUGCGAGCGUUAAUCGGAUUUACUGGGCGUAAAGCGUGCGUAGGCGGCUUUUCAAGUCGGAUGUGAAAUCCCUGAGCUUAACUUAGGAAUUGCAUUCGAUACUGGGAAGCUAGAGUAUGGGAGAGGAUGGUAGAAUUCCAGGUGUAGCGGUGAAAUGCGUAGAGAUCUGGAGGAAUACCGAUGGCGAAGGCAGCCAUCUGGCCUAAUACUGACGCUGAGGUACGAAAGCAUGGGGAGCAAACAGGAUUAGAUACCCCUGUAGUCCCUGUCUCUUAUAC
rnacentral:rRNA from 1 species